rnacentral:misc_RNA from 1 species
AACGCACCUUGCACCCUUUGGUAUUCCGAAGGGUAUGCCUGUUUGAGUGUCAUUAAAUUCUCAACCUUAACUGCUUUGUUGUGGUUAAUGGCUUGGAUGUGAGGGUUUGCUGGCUUCCUUCAGUGGAUGGUCUGCUCCCUUUAAAUGCAUUAGUGGGAUCCUUUGUGGAUCGCCAUGCACUUUAGUGUGAUAGUUUAUCUACGCUAUUGUGUUGGUCUACAAAACUUGUGGGAACCUGCUUAUAACCGUCCUUCAGUUGGACAACUUGUGCUUUUGCACAAAACUUGACAUUUGACCUCAAAUCAGGUAGGACUACCCGCUGAACUUAA